GUGGAUUAAGUUAGCGGGCCAGAAGUUUCCCCUAAUUUGAACUACCUUGUAUGGUAGUUUUAACCCACCCACCCAGCUCUCUGCCUGUAGUCUCCUCCUCUCUGCUAGUUGUGACUAGUAAUUGAGUGGGUGUGCAGGUGAGAGUUUCCACUUAAUAGGUUGCCUCUCCUGUGCUGUCACUAGGAAGAACAGAGGGUAGUGACACUGGGAGAAAAGGAGAGCGGAGAGACGGAGAGAGAGAGAGGCUCUACACAUCAUCCGCAGCUGAUACAGACAGUUUCAUCCUCAGACUUUUGCUCAACGCUACACACGGACUGGACUAAGGGCUCCUACUCCCUCCAGAAGACUAUGGCCUCAACUGCUUUUUUUAAAGACACAGGCCUCCUGCUCUUCUUACUACUGGGACUGCAGCCAUCGUCAUUUGUUUCAGGACAAAACACAAACUCAAGUUCCAAUUCAACGACCAAUGCUUCAUCAACUGUGAUGUCAACUGGCAUGAGUACUGACUCUGCAGCAACUAUCGUGACAGCUACCACAGCUCAAACUACAAUGUCGUCUGCCAUUUCUUCUACGAAUACUACAAUGUCUUCUGCAGGGUUGGGUAGUGGAACCACAAGCACGGACAAUACCACUUCAUGGGGCACCAGUGGCAUGACCAUGAUAUCCUGUCGACAGUUCUCCUGUAACUACUCAGACUGCUACAAUGUGUACAUGAAUAUGACUUCUGUUUCAUGCAACGCUAAUAUCACCUUCUGUGAGCUGAAGAGACAGGAAGACAUGACUUACACCGGUGGCUGCAGUUCCUCCUGCAGUAAUGCCUGUGUCAACGACACUCAGACCAACUGUACCAUGGGAUGCUGCAACUCCACUGGCUGUCUUAGCUCUACCCUGGCCUCCAUUUUUGGCACAAACACUACAACAGUGACUACAGUGAUGAUGACCACCACCACCACAACAACAGCAGCAGCCACCACUACAACUGCUGAACCAACCAAUAAACUUAAGAAGUGCCAGAUGUUUCAGUGCACAGAGCAGGACUGUUACAAGACUUGGAUAACCAAAGACCCAAUGCCUUGUCCCCUCAACCAGCCCUACUGUGAGCUGAAAAAGAUAACAACUGGUUCAUCAACAACCUGGAUGGGAGGCUGCAAUGCCAACUGCACAAUAAACACCUGGUGUACGACCACAACAGAUACAUGCCACCAAGAGUGCUGCAACACCUCCAUGACCUCCUGCCUCAAGCUGGAUGGUACUCUGAACGUUCCUUCUUCUGCCACUAGGGGUCUGCACUUCCCUUUAGCAAUGUUCACUGCUGCUCUGCUGGUUUGUCUGCUCAGCAUUGGUUCUCUGGCUUAAACUGGGUCGUGUUCAGUAGGUACCAAGCGGGGGAAAAAAUUAUUGAAAGAGGGAGGAAAUACCUUGACUUGUCCGUUGCAAAAUGGUUUAAAACGUUGCCUGUCGUGUGACUUAAUGAACACAACCCUGAUGUGUCGACCUACUGAGCCAUUGCUUGAAUAAUAUACAGCGAGCGGUAGUAGUUAGCACAGCAAAACCUGGUUCCAUUCCACAUGAAUACUAUACUGGUUGUAGGUCUAGCCUACUCUUUUUUUGUUUGUUUGUUUGUUUGCUUGUAUAUGAGAUGUAUUGAGAUACUGUAUAUGAAGGCUCAUAUGUGCUUUUGAGAAAUUUAGGCAAUUUAAGUGAUAAUGAUUCCCCUAUGUGAGUCCAAACCAAAUGGGUUUAAAGGGUAUUAUUGAAGAAUAUGACGAUUAAUAUGGCUACAGAAAGCUAUUCGACCAUACCAUCAUACCCAUUUUAUAAAUCAGUAAUGCGUAAAACAUAAUCCACUGAAGAUGAUAGCUAUUUAUGAUCAUAGAUGACUGACUUAAUGUAUGGUAUGAUAAUUCAUUAUCUGCUUUUUGAUACUUAUUGAGAUUUGUGUAAGUUGAAGUUUACAAUUAUGACAUUUUCAUAAAUGUCCUCUUUUUUUAGGCACACUGUUAUUUUCUUUCGCCAGUGGUUUGCAUGAUGACUUGCAUGUUUUCUUUGAUUUUGCACUUGCAAAGACCUUCCAGCCUGGUCUCAGAUCUGGUUGUGCUCUUGCUCACUCAAUUGCUCAUUGACAAACCAAACAUGCCCAGGACAAGGAGUUGGCAUGAUAGCACAAACAGACUGGCACUCAGGCUAAAGACUUUCUCCAAUACAAAAGCAAACAUCUGUUCUUUACAGAUAUUGCAUAAUAACUCAGUUAUUACCUAGUCCUAGAUAGCAUAUUGUGAAGGACAGAUUGACAAUUUAUGCACUUAUAAACAUUUUUAAAAAACAUAUAUAUUGGGCUAUAGAUGGUGUUUGAAAUAUUUGUGCUGACACAUUGAGGUGUAAUUCAUAUCUGUGAAUGUAGUCAUACACUGUAUAACUGUAAUGUGUGUUUUACUCCUUUUAUUAUGUAGCUGUAUUCUCAUUUAUAAUUCACCAUCAUAACAAUAUGGAAAUUGAUUUAUAAAAAUUGGAUUAUAAAAAUGUCAAAGUGUUUAUUUUUGCAGUAGUUUCAUGGAAAGUUGACAUACAAGACCUGAUAUGUCAUAUCUAAUACUUGGAGAAAAGUUACUAAAAGAAAUGUGUCAUGUUGAAUACUUUCUACAUUGUGUAUAUUGUACAAACUGUAACAACUGCUUUUAAAGUCAUAUAAAUAUAAAUGAAAUAAAUGUUUGACCAAAGCAAAAUGUGAAUAUUUUCUUUGAAAUUGUCUGCAGACCUCACCUGUGAUGAGAGGAAUUU
rnacentral:lncRNA from 1 species